GACGAACGCUGGCGGCGUGCCUAAUACAUGCAAGUAGAACGCUGAAGGAGGAGCUUGCUUCUCUGGAUGAGUUGCGAACGGGUGAGUAACGCGUAGGUAACCUGCCUGGUAGCGGGGGAUAACUAUUGGAAACGAUAGCUAAUACCGCAUAAUAGUAGAUGUUGCAUGACAUUUGCUUAAAAGGUGCAAUUGCAUCACUACCAGAUGGACCUGCGUUGUAUUAGCUAGUUGGUGAGGUAACGGCUCACCAAGGCGACGAUACAUAGCCGACCUGAGAGGGGGAUCGGCCACACUGGGACUGAGACGCGGCCCAGACUCCUACGGGAGGCAGCAGUAGGGAAUCUUCGGCAAUGGACGGAAGUCUGACCGAGCAACGCCGCGUGAGUGAAGAAGGUUUUCGGAUCGUAAAGCUCUGUUGUAAGAGAAGAACGAGUGUGAGAGUGGAAAGUUCACACUGUGACGGUAUCUUACCAGAAAGGGACGGCUAACUACGUG
rnacentral:rRNA from 1 species